UACGGGGGGGGCAAGCGUUGUUCGGAAUUACUGGGCGUAAAGGGCUCGUAGGUGGCCAACUAAGUCAGACGUGAAAUCCCUCGGCUUAACCGGGGAACUGCGUCUGAUACUGGAUGGCUUGAGUUUGGGAGAGGGACGCGGAAUUCCAGGUGUAGCGGUGGAAAUGCGUAGAUAUCUGGAGGAACACCGGUGGCGAAGGCGGCGUCCUGGACCAACACUGACACUGAUGAGCGAAAGCCAGGGAGCAAACGGG
rnacentral:rRNA from 1 species